rnacentral:rRNA from 1 species
AGAGUUUGAUCCUGGCUCAGGAUGAACGCUGGCGGUAUGCCUAACACAUGCAAGUCGUACGAGAGUUUUUAACUCUAGUGGCGGACGGGUGAGUAACACGUGAGAAUUUGCCUUUAGGAGGGGGAUAACAAUUGGAAACGAAUGCUAAUACCCCAUAUGCUUUCGAGUGAAAUGAAUUUUUUAUUUGCCUAAAGAGAAGCUCGCGGCUGAUUAGCUUGUUGGUAAGGUAAGAGCUUACCAAGGCGACGAUCAGUAUCUGGUUUGAGAGGACGAUCAGACACACUGGAACUGAGACACGGUCCAGACUCCUACGGGAGGCAGCAGUGGGGAAUUUUCCGCAAUGGGCGAAAGCCUGACGGAGCAAUACCGCGUGAGGGAAGAAUGCCUAUGGGUUGUAAACCUCUUUUUUCAGGGAGGAAUAAAUGACGUGUACCUGAAGAAUAAGCAUCGGCUAACUCCGUGCCAGCAGCCGCGGUAAGACGGAGGAUGCAAGUGUUAUCCGGAAUCACUGGGCGUAAAGCGUCUGUAGGUGGUUUAAUAAGUCAACUAUUAAAUCUUGAGGCUCAACUUCAAAAUCGCAGCUGAAACUAUUAGACUAGAGUAUAGUAGAGGUAAAGGGAAUUUCCAGUGUAGCGGUGAAAUGCGUA